rnacentral:lncRNA from 1 species
AGAGAACGGAAGGGGUGAAGGAGGAGUAUAGCGAGGAAGACUGGCCCCGGGACAUUUGCAAAUCCUAGGGUGCCACUGAAAGGUGGGGAGUCAGACAAAGCCAGAGCGACAGAAAAGCGGAUCUACUCCCAGCAGCAACAACAGGAGCUGUCUGGAGCUGGAUAUAUACAUAGAUGCGUACGUACGUGCACACACAGGAGGAAUUCAAGCUGAAGCUAAUGGGAGGGAGAAAGGGUUUGGGCUGUGCAAAAAGCUAUGCGUUUCAGGCAUGAGACUAAAAACUGAAAGAAGAGGCUGUGCUCCCGGGAAUGUGUCAUCUUGGAAGGGAGGGAGGCAGGAAGGAAGGAAGAAAAGGGGGAAGAUAACUGGCAUGUGGAAGACGAUGGGAUUCUAACUCACUGCUGUGCAGAAGGGAAAUCCAACUUGUAGAUCUGAAAUACACCAGGCAGAGAUUGCAAAUGCGAUCGGAGCUGCGUUGAAGCAGAGAAAGAGAAGAAAAGGGAGGCAGAGGCUGGAGAGCUUUUAUCCUUCUCCCUCUCUCUCCUCAAAGAAGAAAUAGAAGUUUAUCUGUCUUGGUGCUGCUGGAUCUUUAUAGCUGCUGGACAAAAGAUGGAGAGGAAGCUGAAAUGAAAAGCAAAGGGAAACCAGUGCUUGCGAAACUCACGGCUAAGAAGACAAAUCACGCCUCCCCAGGCUUCUUUUGUGCCCCAUCGGGGGAGUUUUAACAUCAGAAAGAUUUUGAGAAGUGUGGGGAGCAAAGGGGAGAGUGGGCGUUAAAAACACCCAUCCUGAGUGUUUAAAAAAUAACGAGGGGAUGGAUUUAUUCUUGACAGCUGGUGGGAACCUUGAAUUUUUCUCUACUCCCUCCCUCCUUCCUUCCAUUUAAUGUGAGAUUAUGAAAAUGCAGAGGAGUUGGAGGGAAGGCAAAAGGAUAUAAUGUGGAGUUUGAAGCGAGGAAGAGAGUGCUGAUGCUGUGGAUUGCUGGCUUCUUGCUGAAAUCAAAAAUCCAAUUGCGCACUGGGUUGUGAUUGGAAAUCUAAUCAGAUCUUUGGGGAGAAGGGAGAGACACUAAAAGUUAUCGUAUUGACAUAUAGAAAUAAAAAUUUAAAUGCAAACGGAGAUUCUAUCCUGAAGGAGUGUGGGGGAUAGGGAAAGAGAAGAAUGGGAAUCCCCAUUCUAAUGUGGAGACACACGGAUUGGAUAAUUGAUAGUGCAGCAAAGAAGGGGGAAGAAGAAAAUUGCCUGGCAAGACCUGGAUCUUAACAGUCACAACAAAAUUGCAUUAAAAGAAUACAGAUGGAGGGCUGCUUAAACAGAAAUACAGCUCUUUCUGCUCUCCAGAGAAAAAACAAAUAGUGAGCAAUGGAGAGCAGAGAAGCUAGAGUGGCAGAAAACCUCAGAAAAAGGGAAGUAGGCAAAGGAUCCACUGUGGAAUGAAAAGUUUCAGAAAGAAGAAAGACCAUUCAUCCUCUGCAAUAAUUUUUCUUUUUUUUUCUUGGUGUUUUAAACCCCUCUUCUCCAGUGAAGCAAACAUCAUUGUUACCACUACAGCAAUUUUAAGCAGAAAAGUUGAACACAACAGAGAAAAUAAAGGACAGAGAAGAAAAAAGCAAAAUUGCUGGAGGGAGAGAGUUCAGCAGUGCUGGGUUGGAUUGGUACCUGUAUGGACUGAAAUUGCUUGGGAAUUGCAGUUGGAUAUCUUUUAUUCUUGUUUCCUUCCUUGUUUUUAAUUUUGGUUUGGUUGCUGAAAUGAAAUAGUUUUCAUAACCCAUCCCCCACCCUGUUUUUUCAUAACCACUCGGAUUUCCAGCUGGAUAGUCUUUGAGGAUAUAGGUGAAUGCUGUGAGGUGGUCAAGUCAACUCUGUGGAACAUUCUCCAAUGGGCUAGUAGGAUGAGAAGAUCCAAGAGUAGUUUGGGAAACAAGGAGAAACAUCACCUCUCAUGACGGUAAACCUACCGAAAAGAGUCUCUGGAGGGCAAGAUGCAAAAUGCAACUCUCAAAACCUGUAGGCAUGUGGAAGCCCCAAACUGGGAAUCUCUUGUCACUGAAGUAAGAGGAAAAGAGAUUGCCAUCUCAGACUUCUUUCUACCAUUUAAGUUACUGCAUCUGCAUCAAAACACCAGCAGUUCAUAUGGCAUCAUUAUAUAUUGGUUGAAAAAUACUGAGUGAAGCAUUAGGAAUAUGGGAAUUAUCUUGGCUCACAGGUCAGUAUGUGAAGUACCUAUUUUAUAUUUUCAAUCUCUAUUGCACUCCCACAACACCAUUGCCCUUAGUUCUAAAGAAUUCUAACAUCUAAAUAUAUGUUAACUAGACUGUGUUUUUAGAUUUCCCUUUAAUUACUGGUGAAUGUGUAACUUUAUUAUGUUCUUUGUCUGAAGAGGAGAAGAUGGACUUUUAGCAUUCAUUUCUCCUGAAUUGAAGCAAAACUUGAAACUUUAAUUAUGGAUCAAUUCUCCUGCCAUCAGAAAUACUUUCCCUUAAUAAUCCAGUCAGAGGUACUUCAGUACACUUUAACUUGAGAUAUUAGCUACAGAUUUUUCUAUAGCUUAAAAGUGUAUAUUUGGUUUGAAAAAAAACCUAACAACAACAACAGCAACAAAAAACACCUUUAUAACAUAAAAUUAAAAAAAUAAAAGUAAAUUUACAUGUACUUUUUGCUAAGUCUACAUUUCACUGCACCUUAUCUGAACAGUAUAAAUUUCAAUUUUUAUUACUAUUGGAUAAUCACACAAGUCAAUUUUUGUUUUAGAAUUCUUUUCCUUCUUAUGUAUCAUUAUAAAAACAACUGGCCUGUAGCAUCGACAUCAUUUUUAUACAGUUUUUCUCUGCUUUCAUGAUGCCCUCAUGCUAGUCUCAAAGCUCAGUCUUAAAACAAAGUCUUCAUGACAAAGAGUAAGUAAUUAAAGCUUUCAUUUGUUAUAGACCUUUUUGGUGUUUGAUGAGGAAAAAAUGGAACAAAUCUUUCAUUUGAUAUUGUACAGUUGUCCACAGAGUUGCUCAAGUAAUAGAGUACGUAUAGGUAUGCAUGAGUCUUCCUUACAUUUCUACAUGCUAUGCUUAUGCUCUGCGAAGCUACAUACAGCGCUCAUCUUUUUUCAUAGCAUGUUUAAGCUUAACUCUACGAAACUGAUUGUUAGCAUUGCUGAGAUACAACAGGUACAAAUAAUGUAUGUAGGCAAAUAUAGAGCAAAAAAGAAAUCUCCAGUAUUCUUUGUUAACUUGUGUUUAAGAUUCAUCUGUAUCUUUAAACAGAAAGGCGCUAUUUCUGCUUAUUGCAUAAGAGAAUGUGCUAUUUGUAAGGGGUAUGGCAUUUGCCCAAAGGGACAAAUGACAAGCAGCAAUGUAAUAGAAAUAUGAAGAAGCAAUCAUCCCAAUUUCCCUUUUGAAAUGCUCUUAAUCAUUUCAUUGGUAAAUGGCACAUGUUAUCCUUGAGUGAACUGGCCAGACAAAUAGGGAAGAUAAAGUGAUUCAUUUAUUUUCUACAGUUCAAAACAAUUGAACAUUUAGUACCUGAUUGUGAAAGGAACCUUAAGGCAGACUUAAUAUUAUCUAGAUGAUGACAUUUGUUAAACAAAAAAAAGUAGGCUUGAACUUUGAAUACUGAUCCUCAAUUUAUUAGUUCUUGGUGGUAUGGCUUUGACAGGUCAUAAUUCAUCACCAAAGGAGUAAAAAAAAAAAUUGGAACUUAAAUACUGUGUGCUAUUUAGUAUCUUUAUUCCAGAGAAAAGACUGUCAUGGGUAUCAAGCACUGAAUUGCUCAGAACUGUCAUCUACACCUCACAGAAACAUCCGUUUGUUGAUAUUUUGUGGCACAAAUCCAGUAGUCAUUCUAAAGAACAGAGACAUAAAAAGUUGUGAAAAGUUGUGUAGGUGAUAAUUUUUUUUUAUUUAUUUUUUGCCAAGCUGUUAAGUUAAAAAAUGUUUGAGAAAUAAUUAAUUGGAUAUUUUUAUAUGAAUAUAAUUAAUAUGUAUGAAUCUACAUGUAUUUAUAUAAGGAAUAAUCAGUACAUAUUUAAAAAUUAAUCUUUUUUUGAGACAAGUAUUUCAUUAACUGUGAAGAAGCAUAUGCGGCUAUCCUUUUUUACUGUUUAAGUGUAAGUCAAUUAAUUAUCAAUUGUCUGUUACCAGCACUUGGAUAGAAAUUCAAGAUGAGGAGUUUGAUAAACUAAAUGGAUGCAGUGAGACAGAUCUUGUGCCAGUGAAGGUAUACUGAUUUGUAUAAGCUGUGGAUCUGGUCUGUAAAUUUUACUUUUGAUAGCAGAUAGUAUUACAGCACAGUCAUGACUUUCUACAGGCAAUCUUCAUGCUGUAAGAUGGAAGGUCUUCACAAGGCCUCUCCCUGGACAGUUCAUACAAAAGUCUGGGAGAAAGGAAAGAGUGAAUGCCCAAACUAAUCAGUAGUGAUCCCUUUGGAGUCUGUGUCCACCUAUAAAACUUAUGUCCACAGUAUAUAGAGUGAAAUUAAGAGAAAGCUGUAAGUCAGCUAUUAUUCCUUGCAGUUUGAAGGAGAAUUACAGCAAAUCUGUGUCCAAAAUCCUUGAAUCAAUAAUAUGAAAAAAGAAUUUCAAGAAGACUGUAAUAGCCUCAUACCAACUUUGAGGUGUACUGUCUGCUGUGACUGUGUUGUGUGUUCAGCUAUCUCUAAUGAAAUUAUUCCUCUCACUCCCUAGUAUGUUCUUACUUUGCCUUUCAGUAAAAAUUGGGAGAUAAGAAUAGUGAAGUGCAAUUGAAUUUAGUCUAGUGAGUGCCUUUCUCACUCAUAAGUACUGCUUGUUAAAUUUCAUUUUGAAAAAUGAAGCUGUAUUUAGUGUAAAUGUGAGGGAUCCUAGUGAGAAGAAAAGCACCCCAAACCAUUAAGAGGAAAAAAAAAAUCUGCUCUUUUUGCUGCUGUAUAAUUUUAAAGCUAUUUAGCAAUUUGUGCUAUAUUUAAGUAAAAAAAGAUUGCUGACAACUUGGACACCAGACUGAAAGUAAAAUGAAAUUUUUAAAGGAGGAUUUUGUACCCUUUAAGAAGGAAAAUGAAGUUUGCAAGUUCCUAGCAGACCCUUAAUUAAAUUGGAAUGUUGCUAUGCUACCUUAAUACAUUAGGGAGAAACUAUUGAGGCUGUUUGCUGACUGCAGUAUACUGCAGGUUACAUUGUUAAGCUCCUUUGUGGAGCAAAAGCAAGCUCUACCCCCAUAAAUAACUUCAAUGAUUGAUGGUAGAAUACAGCUUUGCUCUCUUGUACUUGUUACCUACAUAGAGGACUUUACAUCCCAGUACUUGCCACCAUCUACAGUCUAAACAGCAGAUAUCAAAUUUUUAUAGUUCUCACCAAAUGAUGGCUACUCUCUUGCAGCAUUUGCCUUCACUUUUAAGAGGAGAGAGAUAAUUAAUAGCUAACUCUUUCCCAAGAAAUCUGUCAUGUCCUAGCUUACUCAAGACAGGUGUCGAGGAUGAGAGAUUUUCUAGUGCAUCCUUCUGCACGUACUGUUAGAUAGAUUGUCAAUAUGCAUAAGUUACUAUUGACUGAAGGUCAUAGAAUGGUGGUCUCCUCACGCUGGAUACCUAGCUUUCUGUCUAAGCUGAAAACAAACGUCUAUUGUAUAUACUGAGCAAAACGGAGAGCUUCAAGAAGCUGCUGUAAGAAUUCCAUAAAAGCAGAUUGUUCUUCCAAGUUAAUCCCACAGCAGUGCUCUGGUGCUGUACUAACACAAAUGCUCCUCUUUAAUAUGAUGCAAGUGAAUGAGUCAAACUGUCUUUCCAAAAAAACAGUUUCCAAAACAGUUGGAAAGUUUACCAUUGUGCAGUAGGUCAAAUUUGAACACAGAUACAUAGUUCCUAUUGUGCCUUCAGUCUGAAUUGAAGAUAGCAGUCUUCACAUGGUAUACUGCAAAAAAGCCUCUAUGUUUCUCUCCAGAAAUUUAAGUGGAGAAUAAGGUAAUUCUGAUAUACUACAUAUGCUGUCUGCCAGAUUAGAAUUUAAAGCUCAGAAGCAAACUUCUAGAUAAAAGUAUUAAUGUAGUAUAAGUAUAGAUACUUCUAGAUAAAAGUACAACUGUAGUAUAAGGGUAAGCCAUUACCAUCUAUUAGUCACUGUAAAGCCUCCUAAAUUCCAUGUACACCAGACAUAACAUAUAAAUGUUGAAGAUAAGGACCUCUCUUGAUUCAUCACAGGCAAUGCUUGCUGUUUUCAGUUCACAGCUACCAUUGCAACUCUGUAUUUUAUGAUGGGAAGGAACAAAAAGAGAUGAAAGGAAAUGACUUGUUAUUUCAAAAAAGAAAAGGCUUUUUUUCAUUCCUG